CCGCGAGGCUGGACAGCUCCCGGAACCCCGGAACCGGGAUCUAUUUCGGGGGCUCGGCCGCGUGGCGCCCAGGACUCUCCAGGGUCUCCCAGGAUCGCUCCCCGGAUUCGAGUCGCCCCCUCUCUCUUUCGGGAAUACCAGCUGAUGUCAGUCCGCCAGCCAAAACCAGGGAGGAGAAGCGGGAGCCGGCCCUCUGGAGUCGGGAGAAGGUCUGGGGAGUGGGGUAGAGGGGAAAGCAAAGUCCAAAUACCUUCCCUUCAGACACCUCCUGGGGCCUAGACCCCACAAACCUGUUGUGGGGAGGGCAAAAUACGAUGACUACGUUCCCAGGAAGAAGGUGCCACAGCUCUUCAGGACCACGGUUGGGAGAAAGAAGGGAGGGGUUUUAGAACCUUCAGUGUGCGACUUCAUGUGCCAGUCUUCAUCUCAGGAUCUCAAGCUCUUGGAUCAUGGGCACGGAUAACCUGUUGUCCUCCUCUAUGGUCAAGAGGCUGCUUUUGCAAAGAAUCCAGUGGGAGAGAGUCAAUGGCCUGCUUGACGUGAACUCCAAAGUCCUCCUGGAACAGGGGCUCACUCUGUUGCCCACAUUGGAGUGCAGUGGAAGAAUCAUGGCAUGCUGCAGUCUUGAGCUUCUAGGCUCAAGAGAUCCUCCUGGUUCAGUCUCCCAAGUAGCUAGGACAGCAGGCAUAUUUUUUGUAGAUAUGGGGUCUUGCUUUUUUGCCGAGGCUGGUCUCGAACUCCUGGCUUCAAGCAAUCUUCCUGCAUCAGUCUCUUAAAGUGUUGGGAUUCCAGGCAUGAACCACUGCACCUGGCCCUCGGGAAGUUUUAUUUUUAGCCUAGGGUUGGGGUUAAGUUUGCAUCAUGAUGUUGAGACCUCCAAAGGAGAACUUAUUGUAGUCAUUCCUGAGCUCAGGUGUCCAAACUGUCUAAUUGGAGAAUCUGGGAAUUUUCUCUCGUUUUGAUUUUCCUCUUCCACUUUUCCAUGCCAGUUGGAUGUUUGAAUGUUUUUAUCGACCUCUGAGAGCAUCCGGGUAACUGAGGGUUUACUUUGGGGGUCUUUGGAGAUGAAUAGGGACAGGAGACCUCACCUUUCUUUUCCAUGUAGCCAUAGGAGAUAGUCCCACGAUCUGAUGAUCUGUAGCAAUGGGUAGAGGAAGGGCCGUAUUAGGAACAGAAGCUAGUUUCGUCAUGGGAAGUCCCCUGUUUUCCACUCCUGAGGGCCCUCACAUUCCCUUUCUAAGCCCCUUUCUGCUUUUGCUAUUAAAAAAUACAGUUUUUAAAUCGCAA
rnacentral:lncRNA from 1 species